rnacentral:rRNA from 1 species
UUAGAGUUUGAUCCUGGCUCAGGAUGAACGCUGGCGGCGUGCUUAACACAUGCAAGUCGAACGAUGACUUUUGUGCUUGCACAAAAUGAUUAGUGGCGAACGGGUGAGUAACACGUGAGUAACCUGCCCUUAACUUCGGGAUAAGCCUGGGAAACCGGGUCUAAUACCGGAUACGACGGAUUCCCGCAUGGGGGUCCGUGGAAAGCUUGAUGCGGUUUUGGAUGGACUCGCGGCCUAUCAGCUGGUUGGUUGGGGUAAUGGCCCACCAAGGCGACGACGGGUAGCCGGCCUGAGAGGGUGACCGGCCACACUGGGACUGAGACACGGCCCAGACUCCUGCGGGAGGCAGCAGUGAGGAAUAUUGGUCAAUGGUCGAGAGACUGAACCAGCCAUGCCGCGUGAAGGUGACGGCCCUAUGGGUCUUAAACUUCUUUUGCAAGGGAGCAAUAAGGGUUACGUGUAGCCUGAUGAGAGUACCUUGCGAAUAAGCAUCGGCUAACUCCGUGCCAGCAGCCGCGGUAAUACGGGGGAUGCGAGCGUUAUCCGGAUUUAUUGGGUUUAAAGGGUGCGUAGGCGGUGUCUUAAGUCAGCGGUGAAAUUUAGGGGCUCAACCUCUACCGUGCCGUUGAUACUGGGAUGCUGGAAUGCGGAUGCCGUGGGAGGAAUGUGUGGUGUAGCGGUGAAAUGCAUAGAUAUCACACAGAACACCGAUUGCGAAGGCAUCUCACGAAUCCGCGAUUGACGCUGAUGCACGAAAGCGUGGGGAUCAAACAGGAUUAGAUACCCUGGUAGUCCACGCUGUAAACGAUGAUGACUAACCGUCGGCGAUACACAGUCGGUGGCCAAGCGAAAGCGAUAAGUCAUCCACCUGGGGAGUACGACCGCAAGGUUGAAACUCAAAGGAAUUGACGGGGGCCCGCACAAGCGGAGGAACAUGUGGUUUAAUUCGAUGAUACGCGAGGAACCUUACCCGGGCUCGAACGGCAGAUGAAUUAAUCAGAGAUGGUUAAGUCUUCGGACAUCUGUCGAGGUGCUGCAUGGUUGUCGUCAGCUCGUGCUGUGAAGUGUCGGCUUAAGUGCCAUAACGAGCGCAACCCUUGCCGUUAGUUGCCAUCAGGUUAAGCUGGGGACUCUAGCGGGACUGCCACCGCAAGGUGUGAGGAAGGGGGGGAUGACGUCAAAUCAGCACGGCCCUUACGUCCGGGGCGACACACGUGUUACAAUGGUGGGUACAGAGGGGUGCUACCUGGCGACAGGAUGCCGAUCUCGAAAACCCAUCCCAGUUCGGAUUGGAGUCUGCAACCCGACUCCAUGAAGUUGGAUUCGCUAGUAAUCGCGCAUCAGCCAUGGCGCGGUGAAUACGUUCCCGGGCCUUGCACACACCGCCCGUCAAG